rnacentral:rRNA from 1 species
AUUGAACGCUGGCGGCAGGCCUAACACAUGCAAGUCGAACGGUAACAGGAAGAAGCUUGCUUCUUUGCUGACGAGUGGCGGACGGGUGAGUAAUGUCUGGGAAACUGCCUGAUGGAGGGGGAUAACUACUGGAAACGGUAGCUAAUACCGCAUAACGUCGCAAGACCAAAGAGGGGGACCUUCGGGCCUCUUGCCAUCGGCUUUGCCCAGAUGGGAUUAGCUAGUAGGUGGGGUAACGGCUCACCUAGGCGACGAUCCCUAGCUGGUCUGAGAGGAUGACCAGCCACACUGGAACUGAGACACGGUCCAGACUCCUACGGGAGGCAGCAGUGGGGAAUAUUGCACAAUGGGCGCAAGCCUGAUGCAGCCAUGCCGCGUGUAUGAAGAAGGCCUUCGGGUUGUAAAGUACUUUCAGCGGGGAGGAAGGGAGUAAAGUUAAUACCUUUGCUCAUUGACGUUACCCGCAGAAGAAGCACCGGCUAACUCCGUG